rnacentral:tRNA from 1 species
CGGGAUGUGGCGCAGUUUGGUAGCGUACAAGUAUGGGGUACUUGGGGUCGAAGGUUCGAAUCCUUUCAUCCCGACCA